GAUUGGGCGUUCUUCGCGGGCUGGACUUGGCUCGAACUUGCUAAAUUGGGCUCAAUGGAGCUGCUAGAUUUUUGGGCCAAAGACUUGGGCUGAUGGACUUAUUUAAUGGGCUGGGCUGGGCUGCUGAUUCCACUGGGCUUUGCUGGACUCUUGGGCUUGCUAUAGGUUGGGCUAAUCGAAAUUUACUUGGGCUCGUGGACGGGCCCAACUGCUGGACCGUUGAAAAUUUGCUGGGCCGAAGACACCCGGACCAGCUGGACGA
rnacentral:lncRNA from 1 species